rnacentral:rRNA from 1 species
UACGUAGGGUGCAAGCGUUGUCCGGAAUUAUUGGGCGUAAAGGGCGCGUAGGCGGCCUACUAAGUCGGACGUGAAAUCCCUCGGCUCAACCGGGGAACUGCGUCCGAUACUGGUGGGCUUGAAUCCGGGAGAGGGAUGUGGAAUUCCAGGUGUAGCGGUGAAAUGCGUAGAUAUCUGGAGGAACACCGGUGGCGAAGGCGGCAUCCUGGACCGGUAUUGACGCUGAUGCGCGAAAGCCAGGGGAGCAAACGGG